rnacentral:rRNA from 1 species
AUUGAACGCUGGCGGCAUGCCUUACACAUGCAAGUCGAACGGUAACAGGUUAAGCAGACGAGUGGCGAACGGGUGAGUAAUGUAUCGGAACGUGCCCAGUCGUGGGGGAUAACUGCUCGAAAGAGCAGCUAAUACCGCAUACGACCUGAGGGUGAAAGCGGGGGAUCGCAAGACCUCGCGCGAUUGGAGCGGCCGAUAUCAGAUUAAGUAGUUGGUGAGGUAAAGGCUCACCAAGCCGACGAUCUGUAGCUGGUCUGAGAGGACGACCAGCCACACUGGGACUGAGACACGGCCCAGACUCCUACGGGAGGCAGCAGUGGGGAAUUUUGGACAAUGGGCGCAAGCCUGAUCCAGCCAUGCCGCGUGCGGGAAGAAGGCCUUCGGGUUGUAAACCGCUUUUGUCAGGGAAGAAAAGGUUCUGGCUAAUACCUGGGACUCAUGACGGUACCUGAAGAAUAAGCACCGGCUAACUACGUGCCAGCCGCCGCCGUAAAAC